rnacentral:rRNA from 1 species
GCUAAAAAUCUAGCUUAAGUAUAUAAAUUAAUAUAACAACAUAAAAAACUUUACUAAACCAAAACCACAAAAAUUAAAACAUUCUCCCACCCUAGUAUGAGUGACAGAAAAGGUUCCUAUAAGCCAUAAAAUAGUACCGCAAGGGAAAGAUGAAAAAGAAAUGAAAUAAACCAUUUAAGCCCAAAAAAGCAGAGAUUAAACCUCGUACCUUUUGCAUCAUGAUUUAGCCAGUCACCAUGAGCAAAGAGCACUUUAGUUCAUUACCCCGAAACUAAGUGAGCUACCCCGAGACAGCCUAAUAAAGGGCCAACCCAUCUCUGUAGCAAAAGAGUGGGAAGAUCUCCGGGUAGAGGUGAUAAACCUACCGAACCUAGUUAUAGCUGGUUGCCUAAGAAAUGAAUAGAAGUUCAGCCUCGCCUUCCUCAACUCAAAAAGUUAUUACUAAGCAAGAGUCCGAGAAAUGUACGAGAGUUAGUCAGAAGGGGUACAGCCCGUCUGAAAAGGGACACAACCCUACCAGGAGGUUAAAGAUUAUAAUAAAUAAGAUUCCUGUCCUAGUGGGCUUAAAAGCAGCCACCUAAACAGAAAGCGUUAAAGCUCAAACAGACUAAAAAUCAAUUAUCACAAUAAUUUUAAUCCUAAACCCCUAAUUAUAUUAGGCCAUUCUAUGCACACAUAGAAGCAAUACUGCUAAAAUGAGUAAUAAGAAGACACCCCUUCUCCUGGCCCACGUGUAUGAUAGAACGGACCAUCCACUAUCUAUUAACGAACCCACCCAAAGAGGGUAAUAUGACCAUAAAUAUAAACAAGAAAAAAUCAUAUUUACCAUCGUUAACCCCACACCGGAGGGCCUACAAGGAAAGACUAAAAGAAAAAGAAGGAACUCGGCAAAUACAAGCCUCGCCUGUUUACCAAAAACAUCGCCUCCCGCAAAAAACACAUGAGAGGUCUUACCUGCCCAGUGACAUGUUAAACGGCCGCGGUAUUUUGACCGUGCAAAGGUAGCGCAAUCACUUGUCUUUUAAAUGAAGACCCGUAUGAAUGGUGNAACGAGGGCUUAACUGUCUCCCUUUUCUAGUCAAUGGAAUUGAUCUACCCGUGCAGAAGCGAGUCUAAAAAUACAAGACGAGAAGACCCUUUGGAGCUUAAGAUACAAAACCACCUAUGUAAUAAUUAAAUAAUAAACCAAAUAGCUCUGGUUUACAUCUUUGGUUGGGGCGACCACGGGAGAAAACAAAGCUCCCCUGAAGACAGGGAAUAUCCUAAAGCCAAGAAAGACGUCUCUAAGACACAGAACAUCUGACCAUAUUGAUCCGGCCUACCCGCCGAUCAACGAACCAAGUUACCCUAGGGAUAACAGCGCAAUCCCCUUUGAGAGUUCAUAUCGACAAGGGGGUUU